UUUUUCCGAUUCAAUACAUACAUAUCUAGGUAUGCAACGCAUAAUCUUUGCUACAACUGAAUUUUUUUCAACAAAAGAUGGCAGCAUAUACGCACAAUUUUUUAUUGCUUUAUAUUCUUACCGGAAAUGAAUCGACUCGGGUUUUACAUAUUACACACUUGUAAUAGACGCUGACAGGAAUACGAGGAAUUAUGCAUUAUAUGAAUAUCUGUUACUCGGCCCAGACAAUGUUUUUGAUUGUUUGGUCGCCCGCGGUACACCGCGUAUGCGAUAUCGGUUGAAAAAAGUCUCACGCAUUUUUGAAACCGUAUCAAUUAAGUUAUUUUUUGAUAUGGUAUUCAAUUUUUCCCACAAUAAUGAUGUACACGUAUUACGUAUUUGAUUGUCCACGCAUUUAUAUGACACCUAAAUUGUUUAAUUCUUUAAAAUUUCUGAUUGUCUGAACAGUACGUAAAGAAAGGAGAUCAUAAAUAACGUCACCAAAUGAAGUGUAACAUGUCAGUAGAAUACAUACAUAAUAAAUAUCUGAUACGAAUCCCCGCCUUUUACGUAACCGCGGGGAAGUGGCAUAUGUAAUCAAAAGUUCCGAGACCGGCUUCACAUCUUUCGUCCCACGCAUCUCGAUCGUAUCGGACCGCCGUAAUAAUGGCCACCACAGCUGUAGCUCGACUCUUGUUUGGCAGGGUUCCACGAGUAUCAAGGAAUCUGUCAUAAUUUUCAUCCCUUAAGUUUUACUCGAGCGGGGCUCAUCUGCGGGUUUCUCUAAGGCAUUCCUAAUUUCGGCUAAAGCUGCAUUCGUGUAUCUACAUUACACCGUUCAUACAGCAUGUGCCGAAAUCGUCGCCGAUAUAACUCGUUUAACGGUGUUGGUAGAACUAACGACCACGUGUUUGUGCGAACAUCGAACUGAUCCCCGGUCACGCACACGUUCAAUCUACCACGUUAUAGAUAGCAAGUUCGUUCCAUCGGAUGUUUCUGGAAGCGCUACCAUUGGAUAUGCGCAUAUUGGGAAUGCUAAUUUGAAUGAGAGUAUUUUCACGUCAGUGUUUCGUGGACGACGGACGAGGCGGAAUUUUUCAACUUUUCUCAACGCACGUACAUUCGUUCGUGAGAUAAGUUCAUCGAACACUCGAAUAUCCUGGCUUGACGCGUCAAACGAGUGGUAACGGCGCUUCGCAAAGAACAGACAUUCACGCCUUUCAAUGGGACAUGGUAGAACAAUGAAUAUUGUCUAGCAUUUCAAAUUAAAAUUUCAACGAGCAGCAUUCUUUUGACCCCAGCUCCAGAAUUCCCUCCUCUCUAAAACGUCGAGAUCGUUGAAAAAACACGACCGCUUUGCCCCGAUACAAAUUACGUUGCACAUCGAAUAUAAAUUUAAUGAAAUAUGGUCAGAAAAGAACUCCGCAAAUGCUUUUACUGCAAUUACGGCAGGCUUACAAUUUCGUUUUCGACCGUAACUAAUGGUAGACAAUGCAACGCCGAUUGAGAAUAUCUUACCCAGCAUAUUAUCAUGUACGCAAGGAUCACGUUUGUAAUACACCUACUUUACAACCAGCUCGGAGUAUGCGCACCGGAAUUCGCAUCCACCACGUCACACUGGACUCCGGAGUGACCGCAAGCCGAAGCCAAGAGGAAUGAAGUAACGAGGGUGACCUUGGACGUAAAUUCGCGGUCCUCUCAUAACCCGUCACGUGGAUGUUGACAACCUCUCCGCAUCGGUAUUCGUAAUAUACCGACGACUCAGCGCGAAGUGAAGCUAUUACUGUUUCAUAAUAUGAUAAUAUCAUUCGAUAACUUGUUCGGAGCGAGCGUGUUCGUGUCAUCAUUGUCUGUAAUGUGGGUACUUUAUACUGACUGAAACGAAUUUGUAGAUGGAAAAAUCGCGGUAGGGUAAUCGUGGGAUCUCUUCGCGUAUAAAUACUUUUUUACGGACGUCUGUUGACCGGAAGAUCGUUGAAUUUUCACAAUGCAUAUGCACGUCAUUCGUCGUAGCGUCAUAGCGUCAUUCUUUUUCAAAUCUACUGUGAUACAGAUACGAGCCAGACCUAUUUCGCAGUUAUACGUCGGUUACGCAGACAGGAAAAUUAUGUAUUUCGUAGAAUAUUGUCUUUACGGUGGUCGCGAGGAUUCCAAGUGCUAUCUGAAUCGUUGAGUUAAUUAUGCGCUCCAAAGCAAUCCAUUUCCGCUUCGAGACAGGAGGUGCAGACAAUGAGUUAGCGUUGAACGUGAUGUCUCAGAUUUUUCGAGAUUUCAAUUAUUUUGUCGUUCGAACGGCUGGUAUUACGUAUGUGAUUCAAGAAGGUCCGUGAAUGCCUAUGAAAAGCAGAACAUGAGAAUAAAUGAAAGUUUUUUCACUCAGUGCUUUGUGCGAGUCGAAUCCAGUGCGCGCGUUUGGUUAGAGGAAAUUGAUCUCCGGAAGCUAGUCGUGAGUACGUAUAUCUGAAUCUGGUUAAACUCGGCUGAUAAUCGUCAUUCGUUUAUUCAAGAGGUGACGUAACGGAGUUAAACGAUAGGAGCCGUCGCGAAAUGAGGAUUUUAUAAAAUGUAAACGUUCCACUUGAAAUAAUGAUGAGAAAAUAAAUGAAAUAAAACAAAAUAUGUAGAAGAGAAGGAAAGUGGGAAUGGCAGGGGUAAAAGCGAUAAGCCGAAGGGAGAUAGCAAGGCAGCCGUCGAGCGUUUACUCCGUAUAUCUCAAAGUCAAUGUCCUACGAAGGACUGCGUUCACCCACACUUUGCUCAUACGCUGCAGCACGCGUGGUCUCUUUCCACGCGUGUUUCUCACGAUGCACGAUGUAUCGUGAAAGCAGAACUCGCGAGAUAAGCAAACUUCGCGGAAACAAGAAAAUAACCGCAGCCUGCAGAUGGAUAGGAAACGUCAUUAUUCGCAUUAGUACCAUGGACAGAAUCACUACAUUCUAUAUCUGUAAAAUUUCACUCACCCCGAACGUUGUUCCGUGACGAUCGAGAACUAAAAUUGCGUGAAAAAAUUGAAAUCAAAUCAAAUGGCUGAUUUGCGGCCAGUGCGUAUACAUGUAAAUUCAGAUCUAUGCGUGUAUGUAAAGAGAAAAUAUCUUUUCCUAUUUAUUGAUUUGAACUCUUUACAAGCCUAAUCGAUUAUAAAUGACGACGAGUCUUCCAAAUGACUUAUUGUUAGUUAUUGUUACGAACGACGAUUACUAAUUAACCUUACGACUGAUUAGUACCUCAUGCUCCGAAUGAGCUAUUCCAGAUAACGAUGUUCCGACUGAUCGCGAUCAAUUUUCACAUUCCCCCCUCGUCCUAUUAAUUUUACCCGUCCUUAAGUCACCUCACUCAAAAUUGCAGGUGAACUUCAAGAGACGAUGCACUUCAGCUUGCACAAUCGCAUACAUGAAAAUCACGAGUGAAAAAAAAUGUAUAAGGUAUGUGCAUUUGAUCCAGUUUUAGAGAAAAUCUAGAAUCAAAGUCGGACGGAUUAGUUGAUAAUUAUGAUCAGUAGAAAGUGAGAGAUAGUUUGCUAAUCUUUUAUUUGGCAAAUAAUUCUUGGGAUAGCGAUAAACUGAUCACAACUGAU